rnacentral:misc_RNA from 1 species
GGGUCGAGAACUGCAACUCAAGAAGGAUUACCUUUCUCUGAUGGGUUAUCUUCCCCACCAUCGUCAUCUUUUUCAGUCUCGGUUCCUAAGAAGAAAUGGUCAAACUUUUUGCCUGUUUUUGUUGUUCUUGUGGUUAUAGCUGAGAUCGCCUUUUUGGGCCGUCUUGACAUGGCUAAAAAUGCUGCUCUAGUUGAAUGGGCUGAUAGUUUGUUUUUUAAGUCUUCUCCAUUGCACGACUCGGGUUUGGAAAGUGAGGAUUUUGGACAGAAACUGGGAGAUUUUCAGAAGAAUGAAGGAAAUUUGGGUUUAGAUAGUUGCGAGGAGUGGUUAGAGAAAGAGGACGCUGUGGUUUACAAAAGGGAUUUUGAUAAAGAUCCUAUCUUGGUUAUUGGUGCUGAGAAGGAGUGGAGGACUUGUGCUGUGGGAUGCAGUUUUGGAUUUGACUCCAGUAGAAAACCUGAUGCUGCAUUUGGUUCACCUAACCAAGGUGGAACUGUUAGUGUGCUCCGAUCGAUGGAAUCAUCUCACUACUAUUCCGAGAACAAUAUUGCACAGGCACGACGGAGGGGUUACAAAAUUAUAAUGACAACUAGUCUUUCAUCAGAUGUGCCAGUUGGAUAUUUUUCCUGGGCUGAGUAUGAUAUCAUGGCACCAAUGCAGCCAAAGACUGAAAAAGCACUUGCAGCUGCUUUCAUUUCUAACUGUGGUGCACGAAACUUUCGUUUGCAAGCUCUUGAGGGACUUGAAAAGGCAAAAAUCAAAAUAGAUUCUUAUGGUGGUUGCCAUCGGAACCGUGAUGGAAGAGUGGACAAAGUAGAGACUCUCAAACGAUAUAAAUUUAGCUUGGCUUUUGAGAAUUCAAAUGAGGAGGAUUAUGUUACUGAAAAAUUUUUCCAAUCUCUUGUUGCUGGAACCAUCCCUGUGGUUAUUGGUGCCCCAAAUAUUCAAGAUUUUGCUCCUGCACCUGGGUCAAUUUUGCACAUUAAGGAGCUAGAAGAUGUUGGAUCAGUUGCAAAAUCUAUGAAUUACCUUGCAGAAAAUCCUGAUGCAUAUAAUCAUUCAUUAAGGUGGAAGUAUGAGGGCCCAUCUGAUUCUUUCAAGGCCCUAGUUGAUAUGUCAGCUGUACACUCUUCAUGCCGCCUUUGCAUUCACUUGGCAACUAUGAUUCGAGAGAAAGAGGAACAUAGCCCACGCUUUAAGAAACGCCCCUGCAAGUGCACCAGAGGCUCAGAGAUUGUGUAUCAUUUAUAUGUAAGAGAAAGAGGAAGGUUUGAAAUGGAGUCCAUAUUCUUGAGGUCUGGGAAUUUGACCCUAAAUGCCCUGGAGUCUGAAGUGUUGAAGAAGUUCAAAUCUAUGAAACAUGUACCAGUUUGGAAGCAGGAAAGACCUGAAAGCAUAAGAGGAGGAGAUGAUUAUAAAAUCUACAGAAUAUACCCAGUAGGUAUAACACAAAGGCAAGCUUUAUAUGCAUUCAAAUUCAACGGGGAUGCUGAUUUCCAGAAUCACUUGGAAAUCAACCCAUGCGCAAAGUUUGAAGUGAUACUUGUCUAGAGUAACGUUUGCAUUCUCACGACUUCCGACUACGACCACUAGUGUUCAGCAUCAGCUGCUGUAAUAUUUGCGGAGGGGUCGAGGUGAUUCUGUGAGAAUAGUGACAUUCAUCUUCUGCCUUUGCCCUCCAUGUAUCCUAUGGUUUACAUGGGCAAUGAAAUGUUAUAGAUGGUACGUGAAAAUCGACUCUGAGGGUUGAGAAUGUGUGUGGCUCAUUGGGGUCAAGGCCCUUAUUCAUGAUGAUCAUUUGAGACAAUCUAAACUCCUUUACGAUCUUAAUCCUCUUGAUCUUAACAAAGGUCACCCUCUUGGCCAGCAUAUUUGACGCCUUAUAUAGACUUGUAGAUUUCCACAAUUGGCAUGAUUGAGAGGGAUGGAAGGCGUGCGGGGGCUGUGCUGUUC